rnacentral:rRNA from 1 species
UCAGGACGAACGCUGGCGGCGUGCUUAACACAUGCAAGUCGAACGAUGAACCUGGAGCUUGCUCUAGGGAAUUAGUGGCGAACGGGUGAGUAACACGUGAGUAACCUGCCCUUGACUCUGGGAUAACCUCCGGAAACGGAAGCUAAUACCGGAUAUGACGCACGGAGGCAUCUCCUGUGCGUGGAAAGAACUUCGGUCAAGGAUGGACUCGCGGCCUAUCAGGUAGUUGGUGAGGUAACGGCUCACCAAGCCUACGACGGGUAGCCGGCCUGAGAGGGUGACCGGCCACACUGGGACUGAGACACGGCCCAGACUCCUACGGGAGGCAGCAGUGGGGAAUAUUGCACAAUGGGCGCAAGCCUGAUGCAGCAACGCCGCGUGAGGGAUGACGGCCUUCGGGUUGUAAACCUCUUUUAGUAGGGAAGAAGCGAAAGUGACGGUACCUGCAGAAAAAGCACCGGCUAACUACGUGCCAGCAGCCGCGGUAAUACGUAGGGUGCGAGCGUUGUCCGGAAUUAUUGGGCGUAAAGAGCUCGUAGGCGGUCUGUCGCGUCUGCUGUGAAAACCCGAGGCUCAACCUCGGGCCUGCAGUGGGUACGGGCAGACUAGAGUGCGGUAGGGGAGAAUGGAAUUCCUGGUGUAGCGGUGGAAUGCGCAGAUAUCAGGAGGAACACCGAUGGCGAAGGCAGUUCUCUGGGCCGUAACUGAC